AUGUGGCUCAACCACCGUGAUAUAUAUUGAAAGCCUUGAAACUAUGUUUUCUGAAAUUGAGAUUUGAGACAAUGAAGAGUUCCGAUGAGAUGCACAACAAAAUUGUAAUGAUGAAACAAUCUUUCUUCGAUGAGGGAUUUCUGAUUCCAACCCAGUUUCAAGAGCUGGAGCUGCUACAAGACAGGGACAAUAUGAACUUUGUUAGGGAUCGAUGUUUUUUAUUUGUUCUUCUCGGACAUGACAAGACAGUUUGAGGAUCGAAAUUGAGCAAAUUCUUCGAGAAGAAAUUUAUGGUAAGCCAAGGAAAGACAUGAAUAGGUUACUUCAAGGACUCAAGGGAAUUUGUGGUACCUAUUUUUCUUCGAUCUCCAUCCCCAAGACCCCAAUUGAUCGAUGAUCUCCAAAAUAUAUAUAUUUUCUCGACUUCAAAUUAAGCAUCAUAAAUAUUGUCGUGUUUUCAGCAUUGGUGCUCUCAAGAUUUUGAACGGAGUCAAUAAGAUUAUACAACUUUUCCAGAAAGGCAACGUGGAAGGGAUCAUGCAUGCUUUUGAACAGGUGAAGAUGGAGACUGUAAAUCUUAGGGCGAAAUUGAGCCUUACUUUCAGUUGCUGGAGUACUCCCAAGCUCCCAAUGAAUUGAAGGUUUUGUACGUAGCAGUGCAUGCAUGAGGAUGGUUGGUGCUGCAUGCAGUUGAAGUGCUAGUGAUCACCAACAAUUUUGAUGUGGUCCUCUUAAUUAGCUUCCCCACCAAUUUAAUUAAAUUAGACUUAUCUGAAAAUUUUGUUUGUGAUUUUUAAUUAACAGUUGUUGCCUUUGUCUCUGUAACAAACAAAAAUCCGGUACGUUAUUGCUUGUGUGCUCAUAUCA